UACGUAGGUGGCAAGCGUUGUCCGGAUUUAUUGGGUUUAAAGGGUGCGUAGGCGGUCCUAUAAGUCAGUGCUGAAAUAUCCCGGCUUAACCGGGAGGGUGGCAUUGAUACUGCAGGACUUGAGUGAAGUCGAGGUAGGCGGAAUUGACGGUGUAGCGGUGAAAUGCUUAGAUAUCGUCAAGAACACCGAUAGUGAAGACAGCUUACUAGACUUCAACUGACGCUGAGGCACGAAAAGUGUGGGGGAUCAAACAGG
rnacentral:rRNA from 1 species